rnacentral:lncRNA from 1 species
CACGCAAGAAGAAAACUAAGCAUAUUAUUAUACAUGCCCAAUACAACAUGUAAUUUUUUAGGGGCAAUACAACAUGUAUUACGUUGCAAGACAUGCCCAAAACAACAUCUAUUUAUGACAAGAGAUUAUAAUUCCAGCAAUGCUGGUAAACCGAAUCAAGAUCUUCUUCGGCUCUGCAAAACCAGAGGCCGAUAUCAGCAAGGACAACAGGAAACAGUCCAAACAUAAGGAUUCAAGGAAUCGUUUGCUAGUGUGGAUGGACUUCAUUCACAAGUCAGAGAAGCAGAAAUAAUGCAGCGAGUCGACCCAGAACAGGUAGCCCUGCCUCCUCCUACGCGUAGCCUUGCAGCAAGAGGACCAGCGGGGUUCUUUCAGUUGGAAGAACCACGAAACAAUACGCCGAAUCAACUCGCUUCUGCGUAAAUGGCGUACCGCCCCUUCCUCUUAUGAAAAAGCAGGGUGGCCUGUUGCUUUGGAAGCUGGCCUGGGCUAGCUAACGAACGUCCAGCUGAAGCCUCCCCUGCAGGAACAAGACACGGAGCAAGUGACACAAGCCGAUCCCCAUAUUGUUGAGGCCCAGCAACAGAACUGCUCUCUGUCCGAAACGAUGCAAACUGGUCUCCAUGGAGCUAUGUGGAGCAGGUACCAGGCGAAAUGCGCCUGGGAGCACGCACCAGCACGCGGCGCCUUGCACCACCAGCUGCUGUAACAUCAAAUUGACCUAAUCCACAGGCAGUCCGCCCAUGUAAGUAUAUAUAUAGGCAGGGAGCAUCGACUGUUUUCUUCAGACCUGGGAAACAGUUUUGAGUUUUGAUCAGUUCAGCAGCUUAAGAAAAAUACCAGAAUGGACUCCGGCGAGCAGGGUGAGACCUCCAAGGCCCCCCUGAACAAGGGGGUAAGUAGAGGAGUGUCCAUACUGGACCUCAUACUUCGCGUCAUUGCCGUCAUCAGCACCCUCGCGAGCGCCAUUGCCAUGGGGACUACCAAUGAGACGCUUCCUCUGUUCACGCCAUUCAUCCAGUUCAAGGCCCGAUACAGCGAUCUCCCGGCUCUCACGUACAUGCAGAAUAAUGUUUCAGUGCCUGGUAGCAUUACUUUCAGAUAAAAUAAGGUUAUGAUCUGAUGCUCCAACUGUUUGAAUUUCAUGUUGACACUUGGCAGGUUCUUCGUGGUGGCAAAUUCUAUUGUGAGCGCCUAUCUCAUCCUUUCGCUCCCACUGUCAAUUGCGCACAUAAUUAGGAGCGGGGCUAAAUAUAGCAGGCUGGUCUUGAUCAUUUUCGACGCGGUAAGACUAUAUCUUGCUCUAAUUCAAAGUGUGCCAGUGCUGAACCGUUCAAUUAAUAUCAUGCCAUCCUGCAUGAAACUAUGCAUGAUUACUAACCUAGUAUACUGAAGAAAGAGAAGCAUGCACC